GAAAUAAAGAAGGAGCACCCGCUUCUCGCCUGAGUGAAAAAUUUUGCUGGGCUGAUAGGUUUCAGACUACAUAGGUGUAGUGUGAGUUUGGGUGCGAGUUCGAAUGUGAACUCGUUUUUUUGUUUCUCU
rfam:Enterococcus asini ATCC 700915 genomic scaffold acvKe-supercont1.4, whole genome shotgun sequence.